rnacentral:lncRNA from 1 species
GAGUGGAGAGACCCAUAUAUCUUAUAUACUAGUCAGGAUCCUACUCAACUUCCAAUGUGGGAUAUUGUAUCCCUAAUAGCAAAGGUGUCUCUUUCUUUCGAGAACUAUGACCCUAAGUUGUACUCGUUAAUGCCAAAUUGGAUACAAAGCAAUGUAAUGGUCGAUAAACCAAGUGUACUUUGAGUUGGUUAAUGAAAGUUGAAGUUGAGCCCAAAAAAAAAA